AGCGAACGCUAGCGGCAGGCUUAACACAUGCAAGUCGAACGGGCGUAGCAAUACGUCAGUGGCAGACGGGUGAGUAACACGUGGGAACGUACCUUUUGGUUCGGAACAACUGAGGGAAACUUCAGCUAAUACCGGAUAAGCCCUUACGGGGAAAGAUUUAUUGCCGAAAGAUCGGCCCGCGUCUGAUUAGCUAGUUGGUAGGGUAAUGGCCUACCAAGGCGACGAUCAGUAGCUGGUCUGAGAGGAUGAUCAGCCACACUGGGACUGAGACACGGCCCAGACUCCUACGGGAGGCAGCAGUGGGGAAUAUUGGACAAUGGGCGCAAGCCUGAUCCAGCCAUGCCGCGUGAGUGAUGAAGGCCCUAGGGUUGUAAAGCUCUUUUAACGGGGAAGAUAAUGACGGUACCCGUAGAAUAAGCCCCGGCUAACUUCGUGCCAGCCGCCGCGGUAACAC
rnacentral:rRNA from 1 species